ACCAGUAUUUCUUAGCACUCUUUGCCAUCCCUAGUGGGGUCACAUGAGAACUCAAAAGGAUCUCAUAGUGUUUUUGCUAGAAAGGAAAUAAUCUUUAAUUGUCAGCAACAGCUCAGUAAUUACAGCUGGUUUGCCCCUGCUGAGCCCUGGUGGAACUGAGGUGUUGCCAGUAAUUAAAAUGUAUUAGCUAUUUUCUGAUUAGUAUAAAUAUUUGCAGGAAGUGAUUAAAGCUGAAAAUAGAAGGGGGGAGAAAGGGGUGUUAGUCAAAGGCAGUCACCUGCAAAAAAGGAAGGGCACAUGCAGAAAGUUUGAGAGUUGCUGAAUUAGGACAGUUAUUUUUUUCCUCUCAAACAUCGUUUGCAUCUGCUGCAAACGGGCUGGAUGGUGAAUCAGCACCUCUUCAUGCAAAUAUCCCUUCAUUUAACCAACCACAAAUUAAACCAAUCAAGCAAACCCAGCACAGGCCCUUUGUUGCUUAAUUAAGUUCCCAGGUAGCUGUGGGACAGGAGGUGGAGGGCCAGGUAGCUCUUAUUGCUAUGAUGUGCUCUAAUGCCUGGCAGAUGUUUGUGCUAUGGAUCUGAAGGUGCAAGGAGGAGACAAAGGGAUGAAGCUGGACAUGGCUGUGUGCACAGGGGUGGCACAAACCAGCCGCAGCAUCCUCGGUGCCAAGGCUGCCAACUGGAUCCCAUCUCCCCCACCACAGCAGCUCCCCUGCAGCCCUGCAUGAAAAAAACAAGCUAUGGACCUCUGAAGAAGCCCCAGAGACUUUAAUGUGGACUGCAAUGCAGCAAAGAGCUUCUCCUAAGGAAGAAGUGACCAGUUGGGUCCGAAUUGGAGCUGUUGCAGGGCUCGAAGUCUGCUGGAAGCUGUUGGUGCCUCCUUCUCUUCUGGGUCAGCAUUUUUGGGGUACGGAGUGCGUUUGUAAUGCUAACGACUAUUUCCUCCCUCUUCUAAAGGGAAGGGAAGUUCUAGGCCACCAUUAGGCAGAAGCAGUGCAUUUCAGAGGUGGGAUGAACCUACGACACCUCUGUACUUCUUCCUCUGAACCAGGGCAGCCGCCUGGAGCUGCUCUGCACGGUGUCACAGGCUGCCUGUCUAGGUGGAGACAUUCAGGGGCUCGGCCGUGGCUGUGUCUUGAUGCACUUAAGCUCCGGGAUCACCCUGCGAGAAGGAAGGACCAGGUGUUGUGGCUGGGCCACGAGGUUUGGAAAGGGCACCUCGGGUCUUCUCGCCCUGGGUGUGCGUCUCAGAAACACAGCAAAGACCCAAAGGCAGAGGAAAGUUUUGUGACAGCGGCUCGUGGUAGCGAAAGGAGCAGGAAACGCUCAGCCUCACGGGCUGUGUCUCGCUGAAAGGUUAAGGAACCGCCAAAUGUCAACUUCCCCUUCAGGAGAUAACACUUGAGACUAAGUGCGAGGUGAUCUUUAAACUGAAAAAGCUCUGACAAACAAGGCGCCCAGCAGGGUGCUCCUCUCAGGCUCUUUGCCCUCAGGCCACCCUUUCUGUAGCUGGCAGGUAUCGCUGCCUUUCUGUGGGCAGCCCUGACAUUUAGCUCCCUGUGUGUAUCGCAUUAAUUGGGUGUUCUCCCUUUGCCCAGUCGUGGCGAAGCAUCACAGCACUGAUAGGGUAGUGAGAAAGAUGACCUUUGAAAUGGCCACUCUGAGAGGAGUGUGGGCUUUCAUGCCAUGCAGCAUCACAGUCCUCGGUAUCUCAAGUUAAAUUACACAGCUGGACAAAGACGGCUACGUGCUGGGUGAGUGGUCACUUAAUAUAUAUUUUUGUAAUAAUAAAUGUAGUUCUUGGCAUGAGCAAAAUACCUCAGUGCAGUAAAAUGCAGCCGAUUGGGAUUAUUUUUCUGACGUGGCAAAGAGAAAUGUAGCGUCUUGCAGGGAAAGGAGCCCUGUAUCAGGGCUGGUACAUCAGCCUGGCUUGGGAAUAGCUCUUUUAGGAAAAAAAUUAUUCAUCUUCUCCUCUCUUCUUCCUCAGGAGCAGUCUGUUAGGAGAGCCACUCGUGCUGGGGUUAAUUCUUGGGGAGGGAGCUUUGCAAGGGUUUGCGAGACCGAGCCCAGGCCCUGCCCAAGCUGUGAGCACUCGCUGGCUGCCUGCAGUCACUCACCUGCUUUGGAGGCUGCCUCUGCAGCGAAGUCUGCAGCAAACUUCUUGAGCACCUCAGCACUUUCUUCCUUGACGAAAAGCCCGAUGAAGUUCGAGGACGUGUAGAGCUCCAGAGGCAGAGGGGCAGGGAAUUUGCACUUCCACCGCAUCACGGUGGCCUGCAGAGCUUCAGUGAGAGCAUCGACCUUGCUGUCCUCGCACUGCCGAAGGAAAGAGGACAACCAUUGCAUUACGCCUGUGCUUAGCUCUGGGUGCACUCAGAGAAAGGAAGGGCUUGGGUGGAUGAGCAGGAAGGGUAGAAAAAGCCCCGGGUCACAGAAAUAGGGGUCAGGCAUCAUCUGUCCCCCACUUGCCCCUGAAGCAGGAUCAGCUGCCCCAAAGCAGCCUUCCUAACCUCACCCCAGUGCUGCCUAUUCCCAUGUUAACAGUCACUGGAGGUUACAAGAAUUUGGUCUGCUGCUCCUCCCUGAAAACACCUUGCUAAAAAACCAAUUCCCUCCCCGAGAAGCCCAGCCAUCAGACAGUUCUGGUCCUAACACCCCCGAACUCCGAGCACAAAAACCCGUCUGCAGCGACUGAACAAAGUGUGCAGCACCUCCAGCCCGAGCCUGGUGAGGGCCGCUCAUCAAUGCGUGCAUGAAGGCAGCAAAAAGAGGAGCUCUGGUUUACCAUAAAGAACUGGCAGAGGGUGAUAUGUGGGAAAAUGUUGUGAGCUUUGUUCUUCCCACAGAUCUGCUUUGACUGCUGCCAGAACUCGGAGAGCUUCUGAGCCAGGGGGCCGGUGGGGCGCAGGUAGAGGACGUACUCCCGGGGCAGGGUGUCAUCGAGGAAUGGGUCACCCACAUGGGAGAACAGCCUGAGGGGGAGAAAGAAGUGUUAGAUGGACAUACAAAGGCAUGUUUAUUUUAUAUUUUUUUCCAGCAGAAUCAGCCUGUCCUCGCUCCCUUUCCUUCUCCCUUUAUGGAAAAAAUCAGCUCUUAGAGGUCAGGCGGAGAGCUGCGCUGUCUCUCUUGCAGCCCAUUACCGCUCCUAAGUAACACACAAAAUGGGUUUGUAGCUUCAGACCGAGGCUCUGAAGAUCUACCCUCCGUCACUGCUUCUGCCUCUCUGACAUUAGAGGUACAAAACACGGCAGGGAAAGCGCUGGAAAUUGCUCAACAUCUUUGCGAAGGUGGCUCUCGGGUUGGUGUUUGGGCACCAGGGUGGAGAGCAGCAGUUCCUCCUCUCACCUUGCUGUUGCUGUUACGUGUGAUCACAACCUCCCUCAGCCAAGGCUUGCUUCUUGGUUGCUUAUUUGCAGCACUUAAAUAAUAGCUCUCUAAUUUUGCUACUGCUUUCCAGGCAGUGCCCUUGUUAAAAGAAAACUUCUGCCAUAACAUUUUACAUCCUACUGGCUAAAAUCGUAGCCUUUCCAUUCACUGAUUCCUUUUUCUCUUUUGAACAUUUAUUACUUCAUACCAACCAGUCGCAUGCUGCUUGAACGCUUCGUCCACCUGUUGAUGCCAGUGCUUUUUGUCUGAAAAGAAAGCAGAAAAAAAAAAAGGCUAUUUCAGUUGGAUUGUAUGGACAUAGCCUCAUCUAUUGUUUGAGCCGAGCAAGAUAGACAUCUUUAAUCUCACAUUAGGCAGGAGCUAAGUUCUGCCUUAACUCCCUCCAAGCAGGGUUACAUAUUGUGAAUACUCACAGAAAAACUGAGUCAAGUUUUGGGGUGAAGCCUAGGAUAAUUAAAAUAAUUACAGCCGUACACCGAGCAUCCAAACCAAGUGCGCCAUGUGUUGCCAGCCUAGUCCUGCAAUGAUUUAUCUGAACCUCUGGAUUUUCCCUGGUGCUUUUCUGGAUAGUGAAGAACCUUCUAGCAGACUUCUUGCUAAUGGCAUCUAAUGGCCUCUGCGCUGGGCAUUGGCUCAGCAGGGAAACGAAAAGGGUUGGCUCUGAGGUACAGGCACUGCAGUGGCACUGAGGACCAGAGAAAUGCAGCUGCCACCAGGGGGCACAAAGCCGAGAUUUUUCAGGUUAGAGGAACCUGCCAAAAUUUGCUAGCACUCUUCAGUCCUUAUUGCAUGAAUGUGCACUUCUUUUGCUUUUUUUUUCCCCUUCGGGAUGCCUCAAUAUCCCUUUUCCCCCAGCUUUUAGCACCAAAGUCUUCUGUUCAGCAAGUUGUUCAGGUGCAGAACAACCCAGUGCGACGCUGCCUUUUUAUCCCAGUCGAGUUUUCCAAAAUGCUCAGCAUCAGCAGCGAAAUGCAGCUGUGGAUCAGCUCAGCUUUGUGACGCCAGAGACUGCCAAAACGAAGAAUUCACCCAGAAUCCAGCAGGCAGAAACGUUUAGCAAAAAGAUAUGAAUGAAGGAGGCAGGGACAUCUUCCCCAGUGUCAGCCAGCAGGGAACGCAUCCAGGCCCUGGUGCAGCUCCUGCUGAGGGCAGAGCCCUGCUGUUAACGACACAAAAUCUGACCGAGGAUGGGAAAAGUUCGAGUUUCCAGUGGGCAGCCUCAAGCCCUAACCUAACCUUACUAACUGUGGUGUGUUACAGCCUAAUAAUAACUCCGAAAGCUUGCUGACAUCUCGAAGCCAGAGGGAAUGUGUCUGGCCCAAGGGAUAGGAUGGGUGUGCUGUGUGGAGGUGCUGGGGGUUGGCUCUAAAAAAUGGGUGCAAAGAAGGGAAAAGGCUCAUGACUGCAGGGUCCCGGGGCCUUGGCUGUAGGAUUAGGGCAGCAGGGACCCUCUGGCAUUUCUUGCUUCUGCAGGGCUUGUGCUGAGCUUCCGCUGCCCUUUCUGCGUGCAGCGCUGACUUUUGAAAGCCCUCUGAUAACCAGGCGGGAGGGCGAAACAUCGCCCGCUUGGUCAGAGACGCGUGUUGUUGACUCAGCUGUGUUUCGGCUCUGCCAUUGGCUUCCCCACCCCGUGAAUAUACAUAUUUCUGUUCAUUUGGAGAGCAAGAGGAAGGCAGAAAGAUAAUGCUGCAAAAAAAAAAAAAAAAAAGAGCUGUGUUGCAAAGGGGCGAUUAUGAAAAUACUUCCUCCUGAGCCGCUCUGCUGCCCUUAUCUGCCAGCAUUCAUCUGAGAUCAGUGGGCUGCUGGGCCAGGCACCUGCCUUCUGGAAGGAUGCAUUGUGCACGGUCAACAUCACAGCCCGCUCUGUUCUGUCAGAGAAGCUCUGGCCCUGAUGGGAGCAGUUUCUCCAGCUGCAAGGCGAGGGCAGACAAGCUGGCUGUCCUCCUUGUUUGCUCUCCCCAGACCCCGGAGCAGAGCUGCGAAGGAGUCAAGCACAACCUAGCGGGACGAUGGAGCUCUGCUGGAUUUCCCUGCAGCUCCUUCUCCGCUGCCUUUGUACUCGCAGGACCCCAAAAGGCAUCAGAAAACAUUGGGCUGGGCCCCCCAUGCUUCGUUCAUGAGUGCUUUCAAUAGGUGCCUCUCUCCUCCACAGGGACAAUAAAACUCCCUUCCCAAUUUAAUUUUCAGUGCAAGGAGGAACUGCUGCAUCAAGCAAACAAAGGGCGAGGUAUAUUUUUAUCACGGGACCUGAAAUGGAGAGAAUUUUAUUUCUUUUUUAAUUUAACGCUGGGAAUGAAGUUGAUGGCUGAUAGCUCCUGGUUAGGCACGGAACAGGGCAUGCCCCAAAUCCCUCCCCAAUACCCAUCUUUGCAGGCAGAGCUGGGAGAGGAGCCACCUCUGGGUGCCCCGCUGUCAAAAUCGCCUUUUAAAAAGCUGAGCACUCGAGGCCAGUCACGG